GACGAACGCUGGCGGCGUGCUUAACACAUGCAAGUCGAACGGAAAGGCCCUGCUUUUGUGGGGUGCUCGAGUGGCGAACGGGUGAGUAACACGUGAGUAACCUGCCCUUGAUUUUGGGAUAACUUCAGGAAACUGGGGCUAAUACCGGAUAGGAGCUCCUGCUGCAUGGUGGGGGUUGGAAAGUUUCGGCGGUUGGGGAUGGACUCGCGGCUUAUCAGCUUGUUGGUGGGGUAGUGGCUUACCAAGGCUUUGACGGGUAGCCGGCCUGAGAGGGUGACCGGCCACAUUGGGACUAAGAUACGGCCCAGACUCCUACGGGAGGCAGCAGUGGGGAAUAUUGCACAAUGGGCGGAAGCCUGAUGCAGCAACGCCGCGUGCGGGAUGACGGCCUUCGGGUUGUAAACCGCUUUCGCCUGUGACGAAGCGUGAGUGACGGUAAUGGGUAAAGAAGCACCGGCUAACUACGUG
rnacentral:rRNA from 1 species